rnacentral:piRNA from 1 species
UCCCCAGGAGCCAAAGGGCCGCUCAGGAA